rnacentral:misc_RNA from 1 species
AACGCACAUUGCGCCCCCUGGUAUUCCGGGGGGCACGCCUGUUCGAGCGCCAUUUCAACCCUCAAGCCAAGCUUGGUGUUGGGCGGGGUCUGCCGGGACCCCCCCGAAACUCAGCGGGCGCCACCCGUCGAACCCGGGCGCAGCGAGCUAACGCACGCGCCGAGGUUGGACGGGGGGCGCCCCAACGUCCUACCUUUCAAGGUUGGCCUCGGAUCAGGUGGGGAUACCCGCUGAACUUAA